AUGUUCAGAGGGAGAUGAUGCCACAUCUGGUCCAGCUGAUGGAAGGUCUUGAAGUUCUCUGACUGGCCUGGACUGAAGAUGGUCGUCUCACUGGAUUUAAGAUGCACAAUGAGGGACGUCUGCAGAGACUGAGAAAGAGUCUCACCACAUCCUGACAUGAGGAAAAAGACUUUAUUGAAGACUACAAUGAGAAAAACUAUCAGACAGCAGACGGCUGCAUUCAAGUUUAGGCUGUUAGAUUGUUCCAGAUAAGACAAGUACAAGAUUCUUCAGAGCCGUUCUACCACGAGCCUGACAGGAAGAACUCCAACAGCUACUGAAUGUUCCUGUGGUUCCCUCAAGGCUACAGGAGGAGCCCUACGAGGACGAGCCGGUCCACCUGAUGGCGGCCAGUUGCUGCGGUUCAAAGCCAACACCGACUACGUGGACUUCUACUGGACCACACGGAGGCCUUCAAACCGGACCAACAAGUUCAUCGACUCCCCGACUCGUGGGUCUGAGGACGCCGCCGAGCCUCGGUCCAGCCGGCCUCCUGUCUGUGGGUGUUUGAGUGCUGAGAGGUUUGAGGAUGCAUGUGAACGUUCUGUGUUGAAACAGCAGCUUUGGACUCAGUAACGCUGGGAAAAACCAAGAGCUCCUUUAUUUGUCACUUCCACUAAAAAAACUGAUGAAAAUAAGUUUGCCAGAGUUCUGACUGAUAACAGAUUAUUAAAUAAUGAAAAUAAUCAUUUAAAUAUUCCUUUAAACAAUCCUUUUAGGUCUACAUUUCCUUUACACUGACUUCUUGGUAUAUGUAUCAGUAUUUUGGGUGGAAUAUACCAUUAAGCCCAAUGUUCAAGGGUUUUUCUGGGAAUAUACCAUUAAACCAACCUUUUAGGUAAAUGUUCCAGGGUGUUGGGUAGAAUAUACCAUCAGAUAAACCUUUUAGGUCUACAUUGGAAGAUUUUAGAGUAGAAUAUUACUCCAAACCAUCCUUUAGGUCUACAUUUAAGGUGGAAUACUCCUUUCCACCAAGAUUUUUUGGUCUACAUUGAAGGAUUUUAGUUGGAAUAUUCCUUUGAACGAACUUUUUAAGUUUAUGUUAAAGGAUGUUGGGUGGAAUAUACCAUCAGACCAACCUCCAAGGUCUACAGUAGUGAUUUUUAGGUGGAAUAUAUCAUUAAACUCACCUUUUAGGUCUACAUUGGAGGAUUUUAGGUGGAAUUUUCUUUCAAACUAUCUUUUAGUCUACAUUUAAGGAUGUUUAGGAUG
ensembl:lncRNA